GAUCCUGGCUCAGGACGAACGCUGGCGGCGCGCCUAACACAUGCAAGUCGAACGGGCGAGAGGAGGUUUACUUUCUCAAGCGAGUGGCGAACGGGUGAGUAACGCGUGAGGAACCUGCCUCAAAGAGGGGGACAACAGUUGGAAACGACUGCUAAUACCGCAUAAGCCCACGACCCGGCAUCGGGUAGAGGGAAAAGGAGCAAUCCGCUUUGAGAUGGCCUCGCGUCCGAUUAGCUAGUUGGUGAGGUAUCGG
rnacentral:rRNA from 1 species